rnacentral:RNase_P_RNA from 1 species
GGUAGUGGUCGAAGGGCUGCCACAACCUUUAUUAGAGGCUGUGAGGAAGUUCCAUCCACCACUUCAAAAACUACAAAAUUAGCGAAAGCUAAGGCAACAUUACAGAGACGAGAUGACUGCUGGUAGUCGAUAAUGAAGCUACGCUGAAGAUACCAGUAGUCUUGUGAAACGAAUGUUGCAGGGUGCAAGACCUUGAGUCGCUUAGACGAAUGCCCUACAGCCAGAGUCAACUAUGUUGGCAUUUUAAAGGCUGACAAAAGAUGGACUAUGGCCACUGCC